GGAGACGUGGGAGAGUGGUCUAAUCCGCCGUGUUAAGGUCUGUAUUCUGAUGUCAAGAUUCAAAGUCCCGCGGUCCUUCGGGGCGAGCGUUCGAAUCGCUCCGUCUUCA